rnacentral:rRNA from 1 species
GAUGAACGCUGGCGGCGUGCCUAAUACAUGCAAGUCGAGCGAACGGACGAGAAGCUUGCUUCUCUGAUGUUAGCGGCGGACGGGUGAGUAACACGUGGAUAACCUACCUAUAAGACUGGGAUAACUUCGGGAAACCGGAGCUAAUACCGGAUAAUAUUUUGAACCGCAUGGUUCAAAAGUGAAAGACGGUCUUGCUGUCACUUAUAGAUGGAUCCGCGCUGCAUUAGCUAGUUGGUAAGGUAACGGCUUACCAAGGCAACGAUGCAUAGCCGACCUGAGAGGGUGAUCGGCAACACUGGAACUGAGACACGGUCCAGACUCCGACGGGAGGCAGCAGUAGGGAAUCUUCCGCAAUGGGCGAAAGCCUGACGGAGCAACGCCGCGUGAGUGAUGAAGGUCUUCGGAUCGUAAAACUCUGUUAUUAGGGAAGAACAUAUGUGUAAGUAACUGUGCACAUCUUGACGGUACCUAAUCAGAAAGCCACGGCUAACUACGG